CUAUCCCAAACUAGAUAUAAGAUUGAUUGAUAAAACCAUGGGAUCACUAUCCCGAACUAGAUAUAAGAUAAUUAGAUAAGUCAUGGAAUUAUCAUCCCGUACUAGAUAUAGUUUCAAAACCAUGGGAUUACCAUCCCAUACAAGAUAUAGAUUGAAAUCAUGGGACNAGAUAUAGAUGAAAUCAUGGGACUAUCAUCCCGUACUAGAUAUAUGACAUAUACAUACUGAAAACCAUGGGAAUAGCAUCCCGCACUAGAUACAAGUUCGAUAGACUGAAAAUCAUGGGACUACCAUCCCGGACUAGAUAUAAAUUCUAAAACCAAAGCUGUGAAUAAACUUAUACAUAUUGUGAGUCGGGUAACCGUGCUGAUACGACAACG
rnacentral:lncRNA from 1 species